ACUAUUAUUUGUUAAGGGGCUACAACACCGUACUCAGCUUGAUUUUUUAUUUUAUUUUUAUUUUUUUUUCGAUUUUUUUUUAUUUUUUAUUUCUAUACAUUAACAUCUUAUUUACCUAAUGCCGUUAUCGUUUUAACUGUAAAUUGACAUUUUCAUACAUAUUUGUGCAUUUGAAGAAGGUGUGUGUGCCUGGAAAAAUAUAAAUUUACGGAAAAAUGGCCUCCAUAAACAUGCCUGUCGAUUCUUAACUAAGCGACCUAGCAUAGCAAGCCGUAUAUCAGAAUGACCGGCUUGCAAUUGCUCAUUUAAAUAACCUAAAUACAUUGACCUAGUUUUAAAUACUAAAAUAGAAAUCGCGAGGUGAAUGCAUGAUGGAAAUAAGAAAAGCUGUAUUCCCAUUGGUUACCAGGCGAAGCCAUGUUGUAAGUUACUAAAAUUAGCUCAUGUCAAGGCGACAUAUGACCGAAAUGUAAGCGGUUGCCGAGAUACCGGCUAUUAUUUUGCUCAGCGCAUGACUUCCUUUACUCGACAUCUGCGAACCUGAGUGCUUCUUUUUUAUCAAAUAAGUGCACAUUUUUUGUUUGUUGGCUUCUUUUUACGUCAAUGCCUGAAGUCUCAAAGCUAGUGCUGCCAAGCUUGCUAGGGUUGAUGCACAUCACUUGGGACUGCACAGAUGCACUAGAUGCACCUACAGUACCUGCAUCUCAGUGCACAUGCAUCGGUUGCAGCUACACUACUUCCACCAACCAUCGCAAAGAAAAUUUAGUGCUUCUGCAGUCUAAUCGCCGUAAUGCACUGAGUGGAUAGAUUGGAAGUCUUACGCAGCAGCUGAAAAAAUCUCCAGACCUACUUCAAGAAGGCAGUUUCAAGUAAGACUGGCAGUACAGGGAACUGAGGUGGAAAGUUGGAGCUCCUUCUAAUCAUGUCCCUUUGACAGAUGAAAGGACACACACCAGGAUUGACAGACAGGGAAAACCUCCUGGUGCUUCUGGCAAAUGUGUCAUGGUACAUAAUUCAACACCGCUAUCUCACAAAGGUUCAUCAUUCAUCUUAGAACAUGUUGCCAAAGCUGUCCAAAAUGUUUAUUAGCAACUGACGACAAAUGCCAUAUUGAGCAGUUGCAUGAUAGAUUCAACCCAAAUGAAAGUCUUUCUGCAUGCAUCUAGGCAUAUGGCCCCAAUCAUGGGAUUACAUGACAGUUAGUAAUACUGAAAGAUGGCUGUUAUUUCACCCAUAGCCCAACAGAAACUAGUUCAGGCUGAAGGCAGAUCAUCAUAUUUUUCUUCGGCUUUCUAAAUAGAGAAUGAUUAGGCCUACUGUAACUAUUUUGUUUUUGUAAUGUUAGUAAUAUGCAAAUGUUUUCAGAGUUGUAUACUGUACCUCUAUGUAGCUAUUUUGUAAGCUAAUUCAAUUUUUUUGUAAAUUUUACUUGACCUGUUUUGAAGUUUUUUGUUCAGGGGUACAUUUAUAAAACCUGAUUUACAAGAAUAAUUACUCCUUAAUUUCAGAAACCAAAUGAUAAUAGUAACUUCUGUACAUACUAAAACUAUUUAAUAAGCUUUUACUAGGAUAUUAUUUGAUUUAAAAGCUUUUAUUAAUUUUUAAAAUAUUUUUGAUAACUCUUAUUUACAAUUUAUUUUUAGGGGGUGCACCUCAUUAAACCUAAUUACCAAGACUAAUUAUUGCUUGAUUUGAUUGAAACUUUGAUUAUAGUAUCUUGUAUACAUUGCUUAAACUAUAUGAUAAGCUUUUGAUAAGAUAUAAAGAGUGUUUAACAGUUUUUUUUCAUUUUCAAACACGUUUUCCCCUUUUUCUCACAAUUUUGUUUUUUUACCAGUUUUAAAACUUCAAAAUUAUGAUCUCAAAUACUGUCUAUUAGAUUUCAAUGAAAUUUGUACAGUAGAAACACAACAUAAUUACUGUUAGAGUAAUAGAGACUUUUUUAGGUUAUCUUGAGUAGUUUUGUUUUUAGAGAAUUUCAAAGUUGAUUUCAUGGUUAAUAUUUUAAUCUAAAAACAAAAAAUUUGUAACUUCAACAUUUUGUCAUAUAUUCAAAAAGUCUCUCUAUUCUCCUGUUAGGAAUCCUCUCCUUUAUUUAAAUUAGAAGUUUUAAGUCAAUACAUUAAAUGGUUAUUGAGUUAAACAGAUUGAAGCAUGAUAUGUCUAAAUCAUUUAUUUCUGUAUUUUUUAAUCGGCUAACGCUGAAGACACAUUCACAUUGGUCUAAAAGUAUAUAAAAUAUCUUUAUAACUGCAA